CAUUACUGAAUUGUCAACACGAGUUGUUGCUGGUCCUCAAAUGGGGGCAUGUGCACACUCUGUUUACACAUCCACUCACACCUGUGCACCCUCUGUAGUUCUGUGGCUGGGGGACUCUGUCCUCCUGCUGUGGUUCUAUGUCUUUACACACACUCUGNAUUAAAGUCUCAUGGAAUGUAUGCCGCGUUUAACGCAAUAAAAUACAACUUUCAGCAACGGAUCUCUUGGCUCUCGCAUCGAUGAAGAACGCANCGAAAUGCGAUAAGUAAUGUGAAUUGCAGAAUUCAGUGAAUCAUCGAAUCUUUGAACGCACCUUGCGCCCUUUGGCUAUUCCGAAGGGCAUGCCUGUUUGAGUAUCAUGAACACCUCAACUCUCAUGGUUUGCCAUGAUGAGCUUGGACUUUGGGGGACUUGCUGGCCUGCANUCAGCUCCUCUCAAAUGAAUCAGCUUUCCNNNGNUUGGUGGCAUCACGGGUGUGAUAAAUAUCUACGCUUGUGGUUUGCUGCCAGGUAACCUUCANCAAUGGGGGUUUGCUGGGGCUCAUAAAUGUCUCUCCUCAGUGAAGACAGCUUUGUGAAUGUUUGAUCUCAAAUCAGGUAGGACUACCCGCUGAACUUAAGCAUAUCAAUAAGCGGAGGA
rnacentral:sRNA from 1 species